AGGAGAGGAAGAAACUAGCCUAUCAGGCCUGUGAGGAAAGGCGUCAAAAGGCUAUUGAAGCAAGACAUCAGCGUCUAUCUGCAUGUGAGGUACCCUCUGAUGGGGUGUUGAUCAAAUUUAAAUAUCCAGAUGGACACCUCAACAUGAGGAAAUUCAGCUUGUGUGAGCCAAUUCAGACCUUGUUUGACUUUGUGGGACAAGAUGAAGGUGCCAGUGAAAUCUUUGUGGUACAAGAAGCCACAUCAUCAAGAUCAAUUGAGAGCAGUUCCGCCGGGUCAAUAAUUGAUCAUGGCAUAAAACCAUCCUCAACUCUUUACGUACUUUGGUUUUCAAAUCACCAUGUACAGGAAAUUCUCUCAGGUCAACAAAAUGAUGGAGCUCAUGCCCUAAACCAUACAUCUCCUGGUCAGUCGUCGCUGUCUGAGCCCUCAACCCAGCAAAGUCUCUCUGUGCCCUCUCUCCAGUCUGAGCCCUCAACCCAGCCAAGUCUCUCUGUGACCUCCACCCACUCACUGCUGUUUGAGCCCUCUCUCCAGCCUCUGCCAUCUGAGAACUCUAUCCAGCCAUCGCUCACUCUGAUCUCACAACCGCAAGAAAUCCUGACUG